GAGAAUUAUUUUUUUAAAGAUAUUUAUUUAUUUAUUUCAGAGAGAGAGCACAAGCGGUGUCUGGUGGAAGGACAGAGGGAGAGAGGCAGACUUCCCGCCAAGCAGGGAGCCCGAUGAGGGGACCCCAAGAUCAUGACCCGAGAUCAUGACCUGAGGACCCCGAGAUCGAGACCUGAGCCAAAGGCAAAUGCUUAACCGACUGAGCCACCCAGGAGGACUUCCCAUGUCAGUACUACGGAACUUGCCUAUUGUUUUAUCAGUACAUAGCACGCCAUUGUGAGGACAUACUGGAGUGGAUUCAACUAGUCCGCCAUCAAUGUUCAGACUUUUUUUAUUGUUCAGCUUUUGUCUGAGGAAUGAAACAUCCUCGCUAAUAUGAAGAUCAGGUCGGUAUUUGUGGGGGCCAGCAGCGGAGUUCACAAAACUGUUUUUAAGUUUCCUUCCCAUUAGUAAAAUGUUUUCAGAAAUUCAGGAUUUCAGGGGUCAAGCCAUUUGAUUUUAAAUAUUUCUCUAGUUUUCCUCACUCUAGGGCACAAGUACUAGAUUCUGAGGACUUUGUGCUACUGUUCGUUUGAUGAUAUACUACUGCGCCUUCUGCCUAUAAUUUAUAAUUCUAUAAAGUUAUUUGGCUACUACUUCUAUAAUGGUAGCAAUUUAAUGAAUCUGCGGCAUGUUAUUUAUCUCACUGAUGUCUUUGCAUGUAAAUAAUAUUGAUGCUUUUAAGGCUGUGGAGAAUUUUCAGUUUGAUGCUGCAUCAGUUCCAACAUAUUCUACAGUUUUAUCAGAAAACUGGUUCAGGGCGCCUGGGUGGCUCAGUCGGUUAAGCAUCUGCCUUUGGCUCAGGUCAUGAUCCCGGGAUCCUGGGAUCGAGCCCCGUGUUUGGCUCCCUGCUCAGCAGGGAGUCGGCUUCUCCCUCUCCCUCUGCCUGCCGCCCCCCCAGCCCACGCUCAUGCUUUCUCUCUUUCUUUCUCUCAAAUAAAUAAAUAAAAUCCUAAAAAAAAAAAAAAAAGAAAACUGGUUCAGAGAAUAGACACCAAUUUUAUGGCCAGGCAGCAUAUAAACACAGCAAUAGUAACUCAGACAAUCACACAGACAUGCGCAUCACGGAGUUAAAAUCUUAUUUUAAAAUCUCUGGGAACCUUCUGUGGACA